UGGUUAUCGGUUAUCGGACCGGGGGACUGGUUAUCGGACCGGGGGACUGGUUAUCAGACGGGCCGACAGGUUUAUUAAAGGGCUUUUUUUGUGGAUUAGCAGACUUCUCUUCCGCCAUGUAGUCUGUCAAACCAAUAGGAGUAAAUACAUUCCUGGAAUAGUCUUCUGUUGUCAUACAGAUCAUUAGGAUGUUGCCAUUUUAUAUGUGGACUAGGUUGAAUGGCAGGCAGUCUGUUUAGUCAGGAUCGUACUCUGACAGGUUGAAUAGCAGGCAGUCUGUUUAGUCAGGAUCGUACUCUGACAGGUUGAAUAGCAGACAGUCUGUUUAGUCAGGAUCGUACUCUGACAGGUUGAAUAGCAGACAGUCUGUUUAGUCAGGAUCGUACUCUGACAGGUUGAAUAGCAGGCAGUCUGUUUAGUCAGGAUCGUACUCUGACAGGUUGAAUAGCAGACAGUCUGUUUAGUCAGGAUCGUACUCUGACAGGUUGAAUAGCAGACAGUCUGUUUAGUCAGGAUCGUACUCUGACAGGUUGAAUAGCAGACAGUCUGUUUAGUCAGGAUCGUACUCUGACAGGUUGAAUAGCAGACAGUCUGUUUAGUCAGGAUCGUACUCUGACAGGUUGAAUAGCAGACAGUCUGUUUAGUCAGGAUCGUACUCUGACAGGUUGAAUAGCAGACAGUCUGUUUAGUCAGGAUCGUACUCUGACAGGUUGAAUAGCAGACAGUCUGUUUAGUCAGGAUCGUACUCUGACAGGUUGAAUAGCAGACAGUCUGUUUAGUCAGGAUCGUACUCUGACAGGUUGAAUAGCAGACAGUCUGUUUAGUCAGGAUCGUACUCUGACAGGUUGAAUAGCAGACAGUCUGUUUAGUCAGGAUCGUACUCUGACAGGUUGAAUAGCAGACAGUCUGUUUAGUCAGGAUCGUACUCUGACAGGUUGAAUAGCAGACAGUCUGUUUAGUCAGGAUCGUACUCUAUGAUCCUUCUGACAGGUUGAAUAGCAGACAGUCUGUUUAGUCAGGAUCGUACUCUGACAGGUUGAAUAGCAGACAGUCUGUUUAGUCAGGAUCGUACUCUGACAGGUUGAAUAGCAGACAGUCUGUUUAGUCAGGAUCGUACUCUGACCGGUUGAAUAGCAGACAGUCUGUUUAGUCAGGAUCGUACUCUGACAGGUUGAAUAGCAGACAGUCUGUUUAGUCAGGAUCGUACUCUAACAGGUUGAAUAGCAGACAGUCUGUUUAGUCAGGAUCGUACUCUGACCGGUUGAAUAGCAGACAGUCUGUUUAGUCAGGAUCGUACUCUGACAGGUUGAAUAGCAGACAGUCUGUUUAGUCAGGAUCGUACUCUGACAGGUUGAAUAGCAGGCAGUCUGUUUAGUCAGGAUCGUACUCUGACAGGUUGAAUAGCAGACAGUCUGUUUAGUCAGGAUCGUACUCUGACAGGUUGAAUAGCAGGCAGUCUGUUUAGUCAGGAUCGUACUCUGACAGGUUGAAUAGCAGACAGUCUGUUUAGUCAGGAUCGUACUCUGACAGGUUGAAUAGCAGACAGUCUGUUUAGUCAGGAUCGUACUCUGACAGGUUGAAUAGCAGACAGUCUGUUUAGUCAGGAUCGUACUCUGACAGGUUGAAUAGCAGACAGUCUGUUUAGUCAGGAUCGUACUCUGACAGGUUGAAUAGCAGACAGUCUGUUUAGUCAGGAUCGUACUCUGACAGGUUGAAUAGCAGACA